rnacentral:lncRNA from 1 species
AGCUUUGAUGGUAUGAUGGCUGUAAAAACAUUUAAUUUUCUUAAUGCAUUUAUCCUGCAAGUAGCAUGCAGGGUUGCCUCGAAACAUCAUCAGCUCUCAGUACAGACCUGUUGCUUCUCCCUUCUGCCAAGGCACGAGGAGAGCAUGAAGAGAUCCAGCACUCUGCCUCUGCUUUCUAAAUGCUGCUUUUUUUCCAGAGACCUCUGGGAGAUGUUUGCCUUGAAGAAAUGCAUUGGGGAGCUGGCAAGAGAUGACGAAGCACAAAACUGAAAUCAGUUUCAAGAGUGAUCAGUGAAAUUGAGAAUGAGUUCUUCAUCCUCAGAGGCAAGAUGGAAAAGUUAUCUUUUCUCUUGAAGUACUCCAGUGGUUCCACACUCAAGAACAGUUCUUGAGUCACCAUGGAUAUAAUGAGGGAUGCAAAGCCUUGGAAGCUGCCCCCCGCGCUGGACAAGUACAAGAGCACGUAUCGGAAGGACUUCGGCUGGCACGGCGAUUAUCACUCACCCACCCAGGCACACGUACCGAAACCUUCAUUCCCUCCUGUUCCAGAAGUAUCCAAGUGCUACCUGCCAGAGUGCUACUCCUCUGACCUGACACCAGGACGGGUGGGGAAACUGGAGAUUCUCGCUGAGCCUAUGCACGACCUGUCUUGUUGCCCGUCCAUUCCUCCUCUGUCAACUAGAACUGAAGAGGCGUUGGUAUCGAAGGAACUGCCAUCCACGGGCUUGGUCACCUACCAGCAAUUCGCCCAGGAUUUGUACCUGGAAGGGCUGCACAAUGCUGAUAAAUACAAAACCAAGAACCGGAGCUCAUCUGUUUUAAUGAGAGACUACUCUGACCUCGAUUGGAAAAGUACCUACAAGCAAGAUUUUGAGCACUGGAAAGGAGUCCGUGGUGCGCUUUACACAGAGGAGAUAAGGCCUUCUCCCGUUUUCCCUGAAGAUAACCGCUUCAAUGAGAGCCGCUGGGUUUCUGAGUAUGCAGACAGCUACAGCAUCUUCCUGAAGAGGCUGGACUGGUCAUCUCCCAUCUCUGCACAAUGGCUGCCCUUUGGGAAGGAUGCACGAUGGACACCGCGAUGGAGAGAGUCCACUCACUGAGUGGUGCUAGGGUGGCUGUG